AAGGCUAAAUACUACUGACUGACCGAUAGUGAACCAGUACCGUGAGGGAAAGGCGAAAAGAACCCCUGUGAGGGGAGUGAAAUAGAACCUGAAACCGUGUACGUACAAGCAGUAGGAGCAGGCUUGUCCUGUGACUGCGUACCUUUUGUAUAAUGGGUCAGCGACUUAUAUUCAGUGGCAAGGUUAACCAUCUAGGGGAGCCGUAGGGAAACCGAGUCUUAACUGGGCGUUCAGUCUCUGGAUAUAGA
rnacentral:rRNA from 1 species